ensembl:lncRNA
GUCAGGCGCGUAGUGGUUGAAGCAAAACAGAGGCCUUCAUCCCCUGGCCGCCGCCUCCCCACAGGGUUGUCAGGCGGGUUCCUCAGCCUCCUUCCCUGUCACUCUCACUUCUUUCCCUUUUCAGUCCGGAUUGAUUUACAGGAGCCCAGGUGUUGCCUCUGAGCCAUCCCAAGAGUGCCCUCCAUAUUUCAGGGAGUCUCCAAAUGAAACCGGAAAUUUUUGACCCUGCAAAAGGCCUGGCCCCAGUACAAACUGGAGGACCCGCAAAAAAUGUCCUCUGAAUGGCAUGCUGCUGCUGCUGCUAAGUCACUUCAGUCGUGUCCGACUCUGUGCAACCCCAGAGAUGGCAGCCCACCAGGCUUCCCCGUCCCUGGGAUUCUCCAGGCAAGAACACUGGAGAUUUCACUCUGAUGCCUUUGCAAGAAUACUGCUACUUCAAGAUUUAUGGAAAAGACUUUUCUGAGAUUAACCAAUAAACAAAUUUUGCUUGUUUGUUAUCUGAUAAACUGGUAACAGACUGUAAUUUAGUCUACUCUCUCUGGCGACCUCAUGGACUAUACAGUCAAUGGAAUUCUCCAGGCCAGAAUACUGGAAUGGGUAGCUUUUCCCUUCUCCAGGGGAUCUUCCUGACACAGCGGAGGAAGAUCUUCCUUCCUACCACCUGAGCUAUGAGGGAAGCCCUAUAUGGUUUCUCUCUGAUGCCUUUGCAAGGAUACUGCUACUUUCAAGAUUUAUGGAAAAGACUUUUCUGAGAUUAACCAAUAAACAAAUUUUGCUUAUUUGUUUUCUGGUAAACUGGUAACAGACUGUAAUUUAGUCUACGCUCUAUGUUAAGAGAACAAAGUUUUAUUAGAAUGCAGCUUUCAAUAACAGAUUAUUAAUUUCUUUGCCUUUAAGUGAUUUAUAUUUGUUUUUUAAAUCUUUUGUUAUUUUGGUAAAGUAAAGAAGCAUUUUUUAAGGUUAUGGUACAUGUAGACAAAGCUCAUUCUGCUUCCACAAAAAAUAAGCCCUCACGGUUAAACUUUUGCUAUCCUGAUGUCCUUAAAACAUGGCAACAGUCUACUCCUAAAUGGGGGAAUUAAAAAUGGGUGAACAGUAGCUGUAAAUCAAAGAGUCAGGGCUAUGGGAAAUCCAAGACAGCUGCUUGGCUUUUCCCGGCUCCCUGACAAACCUCAUUUUUAUUUGAUGGGUUAAAGCCUUCCCUGGCUACAGGGUUAAUGCCCUCAUAAUGAAAAAAAUCAUGUUUCACUGAAUACUAAGUUUUGUACAUUGUUAAACUAAGUUUCUAGUUUUGUUAAUUAAGGUCUAGUGUUUACUAAGACUCAUUUCUGAGACAGUUACCAAUCUUCAGAUAAAGAUCAGAUGCUCUGUGAUGUACACCCAGGAGAUUAACACCAGGCUAUAGGCAUUUAACAAGUGAAGUCAGAUGACCUGGGGUAUACUGGGCUCUACCUAAUGAAGGUUCUUGACUUAAAAUCUUGCUUGUGACCUUACUAAUAACUGCUCACUAUACUAUUUUCUAUGUCACUUGUUUCAGAAGAUUGUUUCUUACAUUACCAAAUGUGUGCCUGAGCCUGUGAUAAAAUGCUGAUAUGCAGUUCCAUAUGAGAUCAAUGAUUAUAAUAAUAUAACUCUAGAUAUGGGAAGAAGCAACAGCAGUAUUUUCCUGGACCAAGAGGCUAGUAACACAGGAAUGGUCCAGAGACUUGCUACUCACAAUGCCUGGUCCAGUAGCAGCACACAGAGUGGCCUGCCAAUGGAAUCUUCGUUAAACCUGGGAAUGAGCCUUCCUAGACCCGAGGGACACAGUAGCCAGGAAAUGCCCCCAAAGCAUGGUCAAAUAUGGGGCUGGGAAGGGACUGGAAGUGGGCAUUCACCAGCUGCCUCUGCAAAGAUUACAUCAUGACCACUGUAAGCUCCUGACCUUCAACACCCCCUGAAAGGAGCUCAGGGUGGAGAUCAGAAACAAGGCACCCUGUGCUCUGGGAAAAACCCGGAAGAACCGGCCUUCGAAUACUCAGAUGUUUUCAAGUAAAGAUUUUAUGAGCCCAAAUCUUUGCAUCUUCUUGUACCUAGAAAAACACUAAU